rnacentral:rRNA from 1 species
ACGGAGGAUACGAGCGUUAUCCGGAUUUAUUGGGUUUAAAGGGUGCGUAGGUGGCUGAUUAAGUCAGUGGUGAAAAGCUAUGGCUCAACCAUAGUCUUGCCGUUGAUACUGGUURGCUUGAGUGUAGAUGAUGUAGGCGGAAUGCGUAGUGUAGCGGUGAAAUGCAUAGAUAUUACGCAGAACUCCGAUUGUGAAGGCAGCUUACAAAACUACUACUGACACUGAGGCACGAAAGCGUGGGUAUCAAACAGGAUUAGAUACCCUGGUAGUCCACGCUGUAAACUAUGAUUACUCAGAGUAUGCGAUAUACAGUAUGCUCUCAAGCGAAAGCAUUAAGUAAUCCACCUGGGGAGUACGUCGGCAACGAUGAAACUCAAAGGAAUUGACGGGGGCCCGCACAAGCGGAGGAACAUGUGGUUUAAUUCGAUGAUACGCGAGGAACCUUACCUGGGAUUGAAAUGUAUAGGCUGGCAACUGGAAACAGAUGCUGUUCACUUCGGUGACUUAUAUGUAGGUGCUGCAUGGUUGUCGUCAGCUCGUGCCGUGAGGUGUCGGCUUAAGUGCCAUAACGAGCGCAACCCUUAUCGUUAGUUGCUAACAGGUUAAGCUGAG